GACUGGGGCGGUCUCCUCCCAAAGAGUAACGGAGGAGCACGAAGGUGGGCUAAUCACGGUUGGACAUCGUGAGGUUAGUGCAAUGGCAUAAGCCCGCUUGACUGCGAGAAUGACAAUUCGAGCAGGUGCGAAAGCAGGUCAUAGUGAUCCGGUGGUUCUGAAUGGAAGGGCCAUCGCUCAACGGAUAAAAGGUACUCCGGGGAUAACAGGCUGAUACCGCCCAAGAGUUCAUAUCGACGGCGGUGUUUGGCACCUCGAUGUCGGCUCAUCACAUCCUGGGGCUGAAGUCGGUCCCAAGGGUAUGGCUGUUCGCCAUUUAAAGUGGUACGCGAGCUGGGUUUAGAACGUCGUGAGACAGUUCGGUCCCUAUCUGCCGUGGGCGUUGGAAGAUUGAAGGGGGCUGCUCCUAGUACGAGAGGACCGGAGUGGACGAACCUCUGGUGUUCGGGUUGUGUCGCCAGACGCAUUGCCCGGUAGCUAAGUUCGGAAUCGAUAACCGCUGAAAGCAUCUAAGCGGGAAGCGAGCCCUGAGAUGAGUCUUCCCUGGCGCUUAAAGCGUCCUAAAGGGUUGUUCGAGACUAGAACGUUGAUAGGCAGGGUGUGUAAGCGUUGUGAGGCGUUGAGCUAACCUGUACUAAUUGCCCGUGAGGCUUAACCAU
rnacentral:ncRNA from 1 species